rnacentral:rRNA from 1 species
CAGGAUGAACGCUGGCGGCGUGUCUAAGGCAUGCAAGUCAAGGGGGCUUCGUAGCAAUAUGGAGUCACCGGCAAACGGGUGAGUAACACAUUGGUAACCUACCUCCAAGACGGUCAUAACUUCGCGAAAGCGAGGCUAAUAGCCGAUGAGAUUGCGGGGACAAAAGUCAUUCGCAUUUAAAGUGGCAACACACUUGGAGAGGGGCCUAUGGCCUAUCAGCUAGUUGGUGAGGUAAUGGCUCACCAAGGCUAUGACGGGUAGCGGGCGUGAGAGCGUGACCCGCCUCAGGGGAACUGAGAUACUGUCCCCAC